GAGCUCUCGCUUCAGCAAGCACAUAUACUAAAAUUGGAAUGAUAAACGGAAGAUUAGCAUGGCCCCUGCACAAGGAUGAUACACAAAUUAGUGAAGUGUUCCAUAUUUAA
rnacentral:snRNA from 1 species